rnacentral:rRNA from 1 species
AGUAACACGUGGAUAACCUACCUAUAAGACUGGGAUAACUUCGGGAAACCGGAGCUAAUACCGGAUAACAUGUUGAACCGCAUGGUUCAACAGUGAAAGACGGUCUUGCUGUCACUUAUAGAUGGAUCCGCGCCGCAUUAGCUAGUUGGUAAGGUAACGGCUUACCAAGGCAACGAUGCAUAGCCGACCUGAGAGGGUGAUCGGCCACACUGGAACUGAUACACGGUCCAG